UUUUAUUAAAAUAUUCAGUGGUUCCCGUAAUUUUAAGUUAAUUUAAGAACUUGAACAACAAACUAAUAUACAUAUAAACAGUAAGAACAAACUUACCCUAUAUAUGCUUCAGGAUUUCCCAUAUACUAAAUCAAUUCGUAUUGUUUCGUAAAAAUUGAAAAAAAAUGUUUUACAAUUUAUUGUGCAUGAAACGAUUUCCCAAGCUUUCUUACAUGAUUUUAAGUCUUUGCCUCCUUCACUCCUGGCAAUGAGGACUAUGUAUUGAAAUGAAUAUAACUGGAACGCUACCUCAAAACGGAAAUUUGAAGACAAACUUGAAGACCAGGCUCAGGCCCCAGUGUGUGGCCGAAUUGGGUAUAUUAAAUUGUUAAUGUAAUUCAUAAAUUAUUUGUUUAUCGCUCACAUUAUUUGAUAACCUGUCGCUAUUUAUUUAUUUUUAAAUGAUAUUUAAAUACAUAGAUAUUGAUCUUUAUUGGUUGCUGCACUAAGUACUAUAACUAUUUAAUUGUUAGCAAUUAGUUUGAUAAAAUGGCGGUUAAUUACUGACUAAUUAUUUAAUUAAUUAUUACAGGACACAAAGCAAUCGCUGGAGCGUCACUCCAUCCUUCCACACCCAGCUGGAGUUGAAAUGGCGAGCAUGUUUCAGUUCUAUCAAGAAGGCAUCGAACGAAGUGUGGAAGUCACGAAGAAACUCAAUCCCAAAGUUUGCUCUUUUGAAACUUUUGUUCAAAAUCAUAAGAAAGAAUUAUCGAUGUUAUAAGCUUUCCUUUAUAAAACAGAUGGACGUUCUUUCUCUUGAUUGAAAAGUAUCGCUUGUAAUAAGUAAAACUACUAAGUAUAGAGCUAUAAUUUAAUUGAUAGGUUUUAGUAUAUGCGUUAUAGAGAGUAUAACAGAUGGUGCAGGUCACUAUUGUCACUAUUACUUUAGAAAUGUUGACACUCAGCGUUGCAGCGAAGUGGUGUAAGGGUCCAAAUUACCCGAUGUUUUAAAUUACGUUUAAAAAUUAGUAUACGUUACCUAAAAGCAACGUUUGAAAUUUAGUGUGGUUUUUCAUCAAUAAGCAAGUGUUUAUUCCGAAAAAAAUAUUAGCUCACUUGGUACGGGGCUAAAUUUAUCAAGGGAUGUUCGGGCAAUGCUCACCAAAGAAAAUAUUGAAUAUUUCAUCCCUCAGAAAUGCCGUAACUAUAAUUUGGCGUUCUUAGGCCUGUUUCAUACGUCGCACUAUCCUCAUUUAAUUCAGAUGCAUUUAGUUGAACGAAUUAAAUGCGACGGUAGUGCAUCAUAUUUAACAAAUUAAAUUCGUCUGAUGAAUUAAAUUCGUCCAAGACGUUUUUUUCCUUCAUGGUCAGACGGAUACAACGUUUGUAGCGCGUCUUCGUCAUUCGACGUCUUAUCGUUGUGUCGAAUUAAAUGCAUAAAUUAUGUUAAAGUCUAUUCCUCUCUUUCUGAUCUCGUGGUUUUUAUUUCUGGGUAAUCCAUAAUUGCUAUAGUCAAAAUGAAUUCGUCUGAAUUAAACUCGUCGUUUGAAACGAAACCAUUUUAUUCGACGUACGAAACAGGUCUUAGUUCACUUUCACUUCUAACUUUUACUUUUGUUGUCAAAGCUCGAAUAAAUUACCUAAAAAUCAACUUAAAUUACCUGGAAUUACUUAUGAACAAACAUCGGGGUGUUACCCGCACAACAUACGUCAGUGUCUAUGAUCGGGCAGAUUCUACUUAAAAAUCGGGCAAUUUCCUAGGUUGCCUCUUCGAGAUAUUAAUAUUUAUAAAGUCAGAGAAACUGAUUGAAUGACA